rnacentral:rRNA from 1 species
GAUGAACGCUGGCGGCGUGCUUAACACAUGCAAGUCGAACGGUGAAGGCGGAGCUUGCUCUGCUGGAUCAGUGGCGAACGGGUGAGUAACACGUGAGCAAUCUGCCCCUGACUCUGGGAUAAGCGCUGGAAACGGCGUCUAAUACUGGAUACGAGCAGCGAAGGCAUCUUCAGCAGCUGGAAAGAAUUUCGGUCAGGGAUGAGCUCGCGGCCUAUCAGCUUGUUGGUGAGGUAAUGGCUCACCAAGGCGUCGACGGGUAGCCGGCCUGAGAGGGUGACCGGCCACACUGGGACUGAGACACGGCCCAGACUCCUACGGGAGGCAGCAGUGGGGAAUAUUGCACAAUGGGCGAAAGCCUGAUGCAGCAACGCCGCGUGAGGGACGACGGCCUUCGGGUUGUAAACCUCUUUUAGCAGGGAAGAAGCGAAAGUGACGGUACCUGCAGAAAAAGCGCCGGCUAACUACGUG